rnacentral:rRNA from 1 species
UAGUCAUAUGCUUGUCUCAAAGAUUAAGCCAUGCAUGUCUAAGUAUAAGCACUUUAUACUGUGAAACUGCGAAUGGCUCAUUAAAUCAGUUAUCGUUUAUUUGAUAGUACCUUACUACAUGGAUACCUGUGGUAAUUCUAGAGCUAAUACAUGCUAAAAACCUCGACUUCGGAAGGGGUGUAUUUAUUAGAUAAAAAACCAACGCCCUUCGGGGCUCCUUGGUGAAUCAUAAUAACUAAGCGAAUCGCAUGGCCUUGCGCCGGCGAUGGUUCAUUCAAAUUUCUGCCCUAUCAACUUUCGAUGGUAGGAUAGUGGCCUACCAUGGUGGCAACGGGUAACGGGGAAUUAGGGUUCGAUUCCGGAGAGGGAGCCUGAGAAACGGCUACCACAUCCAAGGAAGGCAGCAGGCGCGCAAAUUACCCAAUCCCGACACGGGGAGGUAGUGACAAUAAAUACUGAUACGGGGCUCUUUUGGGUCUCGUAAUUGGAAUGAGUACAAUCUAAAUCCCUUAACGAGGAACAAUU